rnacentral:rRNA from 1 species
UACGUAGGGGGCGAGCGUUGUCCGGAAUCAUUGGGCGUAAAGAGCGUGUAGGCGGCUUGGCAAGUCUGACGUGAAAGCCCGCGGCUCAACCGCGGAUUGUCGUUGGAAACUACCUCGCUAGAGUCCGGAAGAGGAGAGCGGAAUUCCUGGUGUAGCGGUGGAAUGCGCAGAUAUCAGGAAGAACACCCGUGGCGAAGGCGGCUCUCUGGGACGGUACUGACGCUGAGACGCGAAAGCGUGGGGAGCGAACAGG